rnacentral:rRNA from 1 species
GACGAACGCUGGCGGCGUGCUUAACACAUGCAAGUCGAACGGAAAGGCCCUGCUUGCAGGGUACUCGAGUGGCGAACGGGUGAGUAACACGUGGGUGAUCUGCCCUGCACUUCGGGAUAAGCCUGGGAAACUGGGUCUAAUACCGGAUAGGAGCCAUUUUUAGUGUGAUGGUUGGAAAGUUUUUUCGGUGUAGGAUGAGCUCGCGGCCUAUCAGCUUGUUGGUGGGGUAAUGGCCUACCAAGGCGGCGACGGGUAGCCGGCCUGAGAGGGUGGACGGCCACAUUGGGACUGAGAUACGGCCCAGACUCCUACGGGAGGCAGCAGGGGGGAAGAUUGCACAAUGGGCGCAAGCCUGAUGCAGCGACGCCGCGGGGGGGAUGACGGCCUUCGGGUUGUAAACUCCUUUCGCUAGGGACGAAGCUUUUUGUGACGGUACCUAGAUAAGAAGCACCGGCUAACUACGUG